rnacentral:rRNA from 1 species
UACGUAGGGUGCAAGCGUUAAUCGGAAUUACUGGGCGUAAAGCGUGCGCAGGCGGUGUUGUAAGACAGAGGUGAAAUCCCCGGGCUCAACCUGGGAACUGCCUUUGUGACUGCAAGGCUUGAGUGCGGCAGAGGGGGAUGGAAUUCCGCGUGUAGCAGUGAAAUGCGUAGAUAUGCGGAGGAACACCGAUGGCGAAGGCAAUCCCCUGGGCCUGCACUGACGCUCAUGCACGAAAGCGUGGGGAGCAAACAGG